UACGUAGGGUGCAAGCGUUAAUCGGAAUUACUGGGCGUAAAGCGUGCGCAGGCGGUGAUGUAAGACAGGUGUGAAAUCCCCGGGCUUAACCUGGGAACUGCAUUUGGGACUGCAUCGCUGGAGUGCGGCAGAGGGGGAUGGAAUUCCGCGUGUAGCAGUGAAAUGCGUAGAUAUGCGGAGGAACACCGAUGGCGAAGGCAGUCCCCUGGGCCGGCACUGACGCUCAUGCACGAAAGCGUGGGGAGCAAACAGG
rnacentral:rRNA from 1 species